UACGGAGGGUGCAAGCGUUAUCCGGAUUCAUUGGGUUUAAAGGGUACGCAGGCGGGAGAUUAAGUCAGUGGUGAAAGCCCACAGCUCAACUGUGGAAUUGCCGUUGAUACUGAUCUUCUUGAGUACAGUUGAGGUAAGCGGAAUGUGGCAUGUAGCGGUGAAAUGCAUAGAUAUGCCACAGAACACCGAUUGCGAAGGCAGCUUACCAAGCUGAUACUGACGCUCAGGUACGAAAGCGUGGGGAGCGAACAGG
rnacentral:misc_RNA from 1 species